CGAGAUUCAUUGCUGUUGCCAAGUUUUGGGGGUUUUGUAAUUCCACAUCCAUCCUGAUGGGGUCAUUUAACCCAGCAGUGAAGAGGUCAACUUGCUAAUUAGGUCGAAUUGUAGUAGCUCUCGCUAGUAGAGAUUGGAACUGGCAUUAGUAGUCUUUUACAGUGCCCUUUUGUUUUAAAUUGACAAGCGCACCCAAAGGAUUGCCACGCACUGGAGAACCAAAGCGUAAGUUGCAGUAUUAUUUGAAGUUGCCCCAAUUAAUUCCAGGUUCUUCUUGCUGGAGUUUUAGCACCAC
rnacentral:lncRNA from 1 species